rnacentral:rRNA from 1 species
CAGCUCCAAUAGCGUAUAUUAAAGUUGUUGCAGUUAAAAAGCUCGUAGUUGGAUCUAGGGACGCGCAUUUCAAGCGCCCGUGCCAUCGGGUCAAACCGGUGGCUGCGUUGGCGUUGCGGGCUCGGUCCGUCGGUGCCCCACAAAGGUUAUCGGCGUGUCAACCGGCCCGCCCGUCCCCUCCUUCUGGAUUCCCGUUCCUGCUAUUGAGUUAGUGGGGACGUCACAGGGGGGUUCAACGCGUCGGCGGUGGAUCUCUGGGGCCCAGAUCGUUUACCGUGAAAAAAUUAGAGUGUUCAAAGCAGGCAGAUUCAAUUUUCUGCCACCGAAUACAUUAGCAUGGGAUAAUGGAAUAGGACCCUGUCCUCCUAUUUUCAGUUGGUUUUGGCAGCGCGAGGACUAGGGUAAUGAUUAAUAGGGAUAGUUGGGGGCAUUAAUAUUUAAUUGUCAGAGGUGAAAUUCUUGGAUUUAUGAAAGAUUAACUU